AUUGAACGCUGGCGGCAGGCCUAACACAUGCAAGUCGAACGGUAACAGGAAGCAGCUUGCUGCUUUGCUGACGAGUGGCGGACGGGUGAGUAAUGUCUGGGAAACUGCCUGAUGGAGGGGGAUAACUACUGGAAACGGUAGCUAAUACCGCAUAAUGUCGCAAGACCAAAGAGGGGGACCUUCGGGCCUCUUGCCAUCGGAUGUGCCCAGAUGGGAUUAGCUAGUAGGUGGGGUAAAGGCUCACCUAGGCGACGAUCCCUAGCUGGUCUGAGAGGAUGAACAGCCACACUGGAACUGAGACACGGUCCAGACUCCUACGGGAGGCAGCAGUGGGGAAUAUUGCACAAUGGGCGCAAGCCUGAUGCAGCCAUGCCGCGUGUAUGAAGAAGGCCUUCGGGUUGUAAAGUACUUUCAGCGGGGAGGAAGGGAGUAAAGUUAAUACCUUUGCUCAUUGACGUUACCCGCAGAAGAAGCACCGGCUAACUCCGUG
rnacentral:rRNA from 1 species